AGGUGGGGAUGACGUCAAGUCAUCAUGGCCCUUACGCGCUGGGCUACACACGUGCUACAUGGCGGUGACAGUGGGCAGCAAUCCCGCGAGGGUGAGCUAAUCUCCAAAAGCCGUCUCAGUUCGGAUUGUUCUCUGCAACUCGAGUGCAUGAAGGCGGAAUCGCUAGUAAUCGCGGAUCAGCAUGCCGCGGUGAAUACGUUCC
rnacentral:rRNA from 1 species